rnacentral:rRNA from 1 species
AUUGAACGCUGGCGGCAGGCCUAACACAUGCAAGUCGAAUGGUAACAGGAAACAGCUUGCUGUUUCGCUGACGAGUGGGGGACGGGUGAGUAAUGUCUGGGAAACUGCCUGAUGGAGGGGGAUAACUACUGGAAACGGUAGCUAAUACCGCAUAACGUCGCAAGACCAAAGAGGGGGACCUUCGGGCCUCUUGCCAUCAGAUGUGCCCAGAUGGGAUUAGCUAGUAGGUGGGGUAACGGCUCACCUAGGCGACGAUCCCUAGCUGGUCUGAGAGGAUGACCAGCCACACUGGAACUGAGACACGGUCCAGACUCCUACGGGAGGCAGCAGUGGGGAAUAUUGCACAAUGGGCGCAAGCCUGAUGCAGCCAUGCCGCGUGUAUGAAGAAGGCCUUCGGGUUGUAAAGUACUUUCAGCGGGGAGGAAGGGAGUAAGGUUAAUACCUUUGCUCAUUGACGUUACCCGCAGAAGAAGCACCGGCUAACUCCGUG